GAUGAACGCUGGCGGCGUGCCUAAUACAUGCAAGUCGAGCGAACGGACGAGAAGCUUGCUUCUCUGAUGUUAGCGGCGGACGGGUGAGUAACACGUGGAUAACCUACCUAUAAGACUGGGAUAACUUCGGGAAACCGGAGCUAAUACCAGAUAAUAUUUUGAACCGCAUGGUUCAAAAGUGAAAGACGGUCUUGCUGUCACUUAUAGAUGGAUCCGCGCUGCAUUAGCUAGUUGGUAAGGUAACGGCUUACCAAGGCAACGAUGCAUAGCCGACCGGAGAGGGUGAUCGGCCACACUGGAACUGAGACACGGUCCAGACUCCUGCGGGAGGCAGCAGUAGGGAAUCUUCCGCAAUGGGCGAAAGCCUGACGGAGCAACGCCGCGUGAGUGAUGAAGGUCUUCGGAUCGUAAAACUCUGUUAUUAGGGAAGAACAUAUGUGUAAGUAACUGUGCACAUCUUGACGGUACCUAAUCAGAAGGCCACGGCUAACUACGUG
rnacentral:rRNA from 1 species